AGGGCUCGACCAUUAAAUCGCGUUAUCAGAGGAAGACCAGCAAUAGUUCAUUAGCGGGUCAAAGCAGACGCGCAUGUCUAAAUUUAUUACACUACAUAUAAAUUAACUGUUCUUGCACUCCUCAUCACAAAUUUUGCAAACGCUAUCUUCAAGGAUUUAUAUUGAUUUAAGGUCAGAUUAUUGAGUUAAUUUAGUAUACACAUGAUUACUUGAUACCCACCCAGCCUCUCCCUUUAUUUUCGAUACUGCUGUUUUUGUUUUUAUUUUACAGAUUUAUGUGUGUUGUCUGUACAUAUACUUCAACUUUAACGAAAACCUGUCACGGCUUUUGGAUCUGUUUGUGUUUAUGUAAACACAAAUAACCGAACUAUGACCUCCAUAUGGUGAAGUGAUAAUGUAUUGACAAUAAUAAUGCACUGAUCAAAGAUGAUGUUAUGACCGUCUGUUGCCAGAGGUCAUGGACGGCGGACUUUAUAGGCUGCACCAGUACCGAUAAACUUGAUUUAUUAUUAUUUAAUUUAGAACAUUAAUCCAUCUAAUCUUCAUUUACACUUCAAACGUAGUUUCUCAUGUUGAUUUGGACAUCUGUUGCCAGGGUUCAAUUCAGCACACUAUUAAUUCAUAAUUUCAUUACAUUUUAGUUUAAUUUCAAUUUUAAUUAUCUACUCUAUUUUAAAGAUUUGAUUUGCAAUUUUAAUUUACGGUAACCCAAAGACCCUUUGUUCAUGGGUUGGUAACCGACAGAAGCCGUGAUCUUACUUCGCCAAUAAAUAUAUAUUAUUCUUAA